CAGCAGCCACGGUAAUACGAAGGGUGCAAGCGUUACUCGGAAUUACUGGGCGUAAAGCGUGUGUAGGUGGUUGUUUAAGUCUGUCGUGAAAGCCCUGGGCUCAACCUGGGAAUUGCGAUGGAUACUGGGCGACUAGAGUGCGGUAGAGGAUAGUGGAAUUUCCGGUGUAGCAGUGAAAUGCGUAGAGAUCGGAAGGAACAUCUGUGGCGAAGGCGACUACCUGGGCCAACACUGACACUGAGACACGAAAGCGUGGGGAGCAAACAGGAUUAGAUACCCGCGUAGUCCCUGUCUCUUAUAC
rnacentral:rRNA from 1 species